rnacentral:rRNA from 1 species
UACGUAGGUGGCAAGCGUUGUCCGGAUUUAUUGGGUUUAAAGGGUGCGUAGGCGGCUUUGUAAGUCAGUGGUGAAAUAUGGCAGCUCAACUGUCAGGGUGCCAUUGAUACUGCGGAGCUUGAGUACAGAUGAGGUAGGCGGAAUUGACGGUGUAGCGGUGAAAUGCUUAGAUAUCGUCAAGAACACCGAUAGCGAAGGCAGCUUACUAGGCUGUAACUGACGCUGAGGCACGAAAGUGUGGGGAUCAAACGGG